GAAAACGGUGAUUUUACGACCGAAAUUUCCGACCGUAUAAAAAGUAGUCGCUAAAAUUAAAUUUUACCGACUAAAUAAUAGGUAGUCGUUAUAUUCAAUUUUUACCGACUAACAUUUUGUGGUCGGUGAUUUACGACUACUUUACAGGUAAACUACGACUACUUAAUAGUCGUGAAUAAAGUCGACCAAAACAAAUUUUCAAAAAAACUUACCGACUACUUUUACCGACCAAAUAAUUUUACCGACUACCUAAUGUAGUCGGAAUUUACCGACUACUUUGAAGUUGGUCGUUAAAAUAGAGUUUUACCGACUACUUUGAUGUUGGUCGUUAAUUUAACGACUAAAAAAGUAGUCGAUAAAAUGUCGGCCCAAAAAAAAUUCCAACAUUUUUCUAAAUAAUAAAAGUUAUUACCGACUACUAAAUUAGUCGGAAAUUUCAAUAAAUACCGACUAAUUUAGUAGUCGGUAUUAUUUUAAAAAUAAUAAAAUUUAUUACCGACUACUAAAUUAGUCGGAAAUUUCAAUAAAUACCGACUAAUUUAGUAGUCGGUGAUAUUUUUUUUAAUUAAAACAAAUAAAGUAGUCGUUACUGUACUCUUUUAGAGAUUUGGGCUUUGGGCUUUAGGAUUUCAGUAUUUCACGCAUCAUCACACAACCACAAAAACCCUAACCUACUCUCCUCUCUCUCUCUCCUCCCUCUUCACGUCGUUUCCCCCUCUUCCAACUCUCUCCUUUCUAAUUCUAUGCAACGUAUAUCUCCCAAUCCUCUCUUCUUCAGAUCAUCAUCACCUCACCGAUCUCCUUCAUCAUCAACCUCCUUUUAUCAUCAUCGACACCGUAGAUGAUCAUCAAAAUUGGGGAUGGAAGAUCUCAAGCAAAUAUUUGGAGUGAGGAGCAAAAUCUUGUUUUGUAAUUUUCGUUUUAGAUUAGAUUAAGUAUUAUAAUUUUUUCGACUCUAUUAGAUCUAACUUGUUGGUACAAGUAUUGUUGUAAUAACUCUUGAAUAAAAGUUUGGGUUUUAUUUUCUUUGUGGGUUAAUAAUAUGAAAAGUUGUUUUGAUUGUUA